ACACAAGAGUCAGAUGAAGUGGGAGAUAGCACAGAGCCCAUAUGCUUGGCUUGGUAAUAAAGAACACGCAUUACAUUCUGUAUUCCUUCAUCAGUCUCAGAGUUACCUCCAUUUAAAGGAACAUCUGGCAAACCUGAAUGGAAGUCUGAACUGCAUAAAGGCAAAUGGCUGCUGCCGUCCAUUGUAAGUAUACCCAGGUGGCUGACCAUCUCAAUGCACAAGGGUCAGAUAGGGAUAAGACUUUAAUCACUGACAUAAACACAGCUGGGAAGGCUGAUCUACAUUUGGUACUAGAGACCACUGUGCAGCAUUUCUGUUGCACUAAUUUCUUCUUCAAGCAGCUCCCUUUGAAGACUUCAGUUAAUACAGAUGAAAACCGAACAGAUUUUUAAAAGUCACUUUCAAUUUAGGGCAAGAGUUAGCAUUGCUUAGAUGGGGCACAUUUGUUUUUGUUUUGCCUCCUGCCAUCUCUACUCAGAUUUUGCAGGUUCUAGUGAUGCUACAAAAACCUGCAACACCUGCUAAAGUAGAGACAAUCACAGCUAUAUGCAAUGGGCAAUGACAACUCAGACAUAUCACCUUGGAGAAAAACUGUCUCUAUCUUGUCUAUCUAAAUGUCCCCUCACGUGCUAGUGAAUAUUCCUUAAAAAAUACACAUGUUAUUAUACUUUGCCAUUUGCAUUAAAGGGUAAUUUUAUAAAGAAAACUGAUACUGAAUCACGAAUCCUAAUUCUAACAAAAUUAUAGUCUAAUAUAAUAUAUAGUCUAAUAUAUAGUCUAAUUCUGUGCCUUGCUCUGAAGUUUAAGACCCUUUAGGUUCAGGGAAACAUAAUCCUGAUAAGUGGGCAGAGAACUACAGUCCCACUGAUUUCAAUGGGAUAGGUUUGAUUUAUUUUUAAUGUUAUUUUUGCAUUCUUUCAAGUCCUUUUUGGUGACCCUAGGGCAGGCAUGGGAAAACUUUGGCCCUCCAGGUGUUUUGGACUUCAGCUCCCACAAUUCCUAACAGUUGGUAGGCUGUUUAUCCAUACCUCACAACCUCUGAGGAUGCCUGCCAUAGAUGUGGGCGAAACGUCAGGAGAGAAUACUUCUGGAACAUGGCCACACAGCCCGAAAGACAUACAACAACAACCCUGUGAUUCUGGCCAUGAAAGCCUUCGACAACACUUUUUCCAGAGACUUUCUCCAGCCAAGUUAGGAUUCCCUUUCCUC
rnacentral:lncRNA from 1 species